GGGAGCUUAGCUCAGUUGGUAGAGCACCUGCCUUACAAGCAGGGGGUCAAUGGUUCGAGCCCGUUAGCUCCCACCA
rnacentral:tRNA from 1 species